GUGCUCGAAAGAGAGCCGUAACACAGGUGCUGCAUGGCUGUCGUCAGCUCGUGUCGUGAGAUGUUGGGUUAAGUCCCGCAACGAGCGCAACCCUUGUCAUUAGUUGCUACGAAAGGGCACUCUAAUGAGACUGCCGGUGACAAACCGGAGGAAGGUGGGGAUGACGUCAAGUCCUCAUGGCCCUUAUAGGUGGGGCUACACACGUCAUACAAUGGCUGGUACAAAGGGUUGCCAACCCGCGAGGGGGAGCCAAUCCCAUAAAGCCAGUCGUAGUCCGGAUCGCAGUCUGCAACUCGACUGCGUGAAGUCGGAAUCGCUAGUAAUCGUGGAUCAGCAUGUCACGGUGAAUACGUUCCCGGGUCUU
rnacentral:rRNA from 1 species